rnacentral:lncRNA from 8 species
AUGUGUCUGUCUAUCCCUGUUCUCUCCUCUCUGCACAGGCCAUACAAACGCUUCACACCGCGUGGCCGCUGCCACUCCAACCUGGUGGUCCCAGCGCGCACGACCCACGUGGAGUUCCAGGUCUCCGGCAGCCUCUGGAACUGCCGGUCUGCAGCCAACAAGGCUGAGUUCAUCUCAGCCUAUGCUACCCUCCAGUCCCUAGACUUCCUGGCGCUGACGGAAACAUGGAUUACCACAGAUAACACUGCUACUCCUACUGCUCUCUCUUCGUCUGCCCACGUGUUCUCGCAUACCCCUAGAGCAUCGAGCCAGCGGGGUGGUGGCACUGGAAUCCUCAUCUCUCCCAAGUGGACAUUCUCUCUUUCUCCCCUGACCCAUCUGUCUAUCUCCUCAUUUGAAUUCCAUGCUGUCACAGUUACCAGCCCUUUCAAGCUUAACAUCCUUAUCAUUUAUCGCCCUCCAGGUUCCCUUGGAGAGUUCAUCAAUGAGCUUGACGCCUUGAUAAGUUCCUUUCCUGAGGAUGGCUCACCUCUCACAGUUCUGGGUGACUUUAACCUCCCCACGUCUACCUUUGACUCAUUCCUCUCUGCCUCCUUCUUUCCACUCCUCUCCUCUUUUGACCUCACCCUCUCACCUUCCCCCCCUACUCACAAGGCAGGCAAUACGCUUGACCUCAUCUUUACUAGAUGCUGUUCUUCCACUAAUCUCAUUGCAACUCCCCUCCAAAUCUCCGACCACUACCUUGUAUCCUUUUCCCUCUUGCUCUCAUCCAACACUUCUCACUCUGCCCCUACUCGGAUGGUAUUGCGCCGUCCCAACCUUCGCCUGAUUCUGCCUCCUCAACCCUCCUCUCCUCCCUUUCUGCAUCCUUUGAUUUUCUCUGUCCCCUAUCCUCCAGGCCGGCUCGGUCCUCCCCUCCUGCUCCGUGGCUCGACGACACUACGAGCUCACAGAACAGGGCUCCGGGCAGCCGAGCGGAAAUGGAGGAAAACUCGCCUCCCUGCGGACCUGGCAUCCUUUCACUCCCUCCUCUCUACAUUCUCCUCUUCUGUCUCUGCUGCUAAAGCCACUUUCUACCACUCUAAAUUCCAAGCAUCUGCCUCUAACCCUAGGAAGCUCUUUGCUACCUUCUCCUCCCUCCUGAAUCCUCCUCCCCCCCCCCCCCCCCUCCCUCUCUGCAGAUGA